ensembl:lncRNA
UUGACCUUCUAGUAUGGAAAUAUUAUUUCAAAAAAUGAAGGAAAAACACAUUUUUAAUUGCACUGACCAUUUUUUUUUGUUACACUUCUCAAAAGGCACCGAAUUGGUGGAAUGACCCAACUGCUAUUUCAGCAGCAGUGCCAACAUUUGCUUUCUAAACAAAUAUUUUUUUUUAGGGGGGGGAGUGAUGAGCAAUGAAAAUGCUUAUUGGAUUUUGGAUACACGUCCAGAGCUACUACGACACAGCUCAGCACAGCAGCCGCAAGAGGCAGCAGCUCAACUUUUUUCCUGACUUGACUUUUGGCUGGUUUGGGUCAGAAUGGCUAACUACUGGUCUGUUCAGGUUUUCUGUGGUGUUUUAUCCACCAUGCUCUUGGCCAUGGGGGCACUGGAUGGUGGGAUGGAAUGUACAGACAAGGACAGAUUACUGACACAGAUAUCCAAAGAUCUGGACCCACCGUCGGAGUGUGUGCUAGGCUGCACUGUACUGACUUACAGAGCCAUGCUGGAGACACAAAAUAUACCUACUGUACGCUUCAAAGACUCUACAGCAGGUGAACAUGGAGAAUACUGCUGGUCCAGGAGAACGAAGUGUAGCCCCGGAGAGAGCCUGCUUCAUGCCUACAUCGUGUUACCUGUGGAUGUGUCACUGGUUAACGAGGAAACCCUUGGAUUGAAAGCUACUCUCCCCCACCAUAACAACAUACUAACUCCUCACGACGGUCCCACGCCACUUUCCAAACUCUGUGGUCUCCGCUUUGACAUCACAGACCAGUUCACCGUGACAAAGAGAUUGCCAAUGUUCUGUGUGCAGGUUGUCCCACAGCAGAGCACCUUGGAAAACGGAAUUCCUAUUAGAUGCCCACCUUUCUUGGUGACGAUGUGGCAGAGGCUGAAUAAGUAACCUACAAAGCAAUGGAGGGGGAUGAAAAGGACUUGUUUAGCCGACGACCAUCCAAAAUGGUUAAUGGCAUCAAGGUUAGUUUGUCAGAAUUGUUAGGUAACCCUUCUCCUAUUGUAAAUGCAUCUGGAUCUGAUAGUCUUGCUUAUUUCACAGCUAUCUAUCUCGUCAGCAACAUAUUGUAUAUAACAUAGUGUUUCUUCAUAUAUUGAUUUAGCAGCGGUGCCCCGCCACUUCCCCCAAAAAAAAAAAAAUAGAGUGACAAGUUACAACGUAUAUUUUGUCUUUAGAUUCUCGCUACAAUUGUCACUGCUGCUGAAUGAAAUCCUUAGGGAGGACGACGCUGUAACAACUCACAGUAGGUUAUAUCAUGUUUAUGGAAAAGAAAAAAAGGAUGUCCGAUUCAAAUGGAAAGUCAGUUACAACAACGGAUUGUCCGAUGAAAUACCCAGAACUCUUUGACACAAGACUGUUGACUAAAUGGAGUACUUUCAACCAUGACUUGAAAUGGACUCAGUUUGGAAUGAGAAGAACGUGAGGUAAAUGUAUGGAAGGUGAAAAUUAACCGUUGUAUUUGAUUGAUAGAUAGAUAGAUAGAUAGAUAGAUAGAUAGAUAGAUAGAUAGAUAGAUAGAUAGAUAGAUAGAUAGAUAGAUAGAUAGAUAGAUAGAUAGAUAAGAUAGAUAGAUAGAUAGAUAGAUAGAUAGAUAGAUAGAUAGAUAGAUAGAUAGAUAGAUAGAUAGAUAGAUAGAUAGAUAGAUAGAUAGAUAGAUAGAUAGAUAGAUAGAUAGAUAGAUAGAUAGAUAGAUAACAAUAUCAUUGUUAAUAUGCUGUAUGGAUGUAUGCUUUUGGGUCGAUAGUUGAUUCUAGAUUGAGAUAAUAUUUCAAAUAAUAUGGAUUUGAGGGCUUUGUGUUCAUUUGUGCUCUAUUGUGUGGAGCAAACAUUUGAUGGCACAUAUGUAUAUAGAAUGUAUAAGCUUCUUAUAAGAAAUAUACGUGGCUGCUAAUUUAAGUGUGUGAACACCAGAAACUGUCCUAAAGCACAUUUAUUUCUAUUUAACUUUUAUUAUAUUUACUUUAACUUCUAUUUUUAUUUACUUUAAUUUGCUAUAACACCACACUAAUUGUUUUGAUGUAACCUCUGUAAACUGUGAGCUUUACUAGAAUGUUUUUCCAACCAUGUCAAGUAUCCACAACAUUAAAACAACUUCACAUGAUUGUGUACGUCUGUGAGCUUGCACAAAAAGAAGGCCUUAGUUUUAUC